CUGCUGUCGCAGUAGCUUCACCUGACGAAGACACCUUCCGCUUCUUUGUGGUUGUUUCUCCUUCCGGGAAGCUAAUGCGAGAGAAAACGCUUGCUUUACUCUUGCGGUCUGCUAUUGUUGCUGCUGAAGCAGGCUUAACUGCCGUCUCAGAGGAGGAUUUUGCAGAGGAUUCUGAUCGGUGAUGGUGGUGAUGAUGGCGACGGUGAUCGCGUUCAGCUUUGUCUUUAUCUCUAUCUCUGUCAUGAUCAUAGUCGUGGUAGUCAUAAUCGCGAUCUCUGUCAUGGUCGGAUUUUCUUUUGGAAGGACGUGGCAGUGGAGGAGGCGGUGGCUCAAGCUCUCGUGCAGGCGACGGCCUCUCAGGUCUAUGGCGGUGGUGAGGAUGAGGAUCACCACUUGAAGAUGGCGGAAUUGAUUUCUGGGCCAACAGCAAAAAUAAAUUAGAAGCAAGUAGUUGUGCUCAAUAUAGUAAGCUAUACGUACAAAAAUUAAAUCCCGAAGGAUCACAGCACAGGCCCCCUUAGAAUAACUACGAAAGUCCAUCAAUUUGUACAUGGGCCACGGAACAUGCCCUUUAAUUACUUCAACCCGCUAACAAGGAAAACAGCAAUUGUUAAAUGUUCACUACUUAGUACACUUUUGCUGCUGCAUUUUUUCAAUAAACUUUACCUUUAUUUACAUUUUUUUAUUUUUGGUAAGAACAUUGUUCUCUGGAACUUUACCAUUUGGUUCCAAUUUUUUUUUUUUUUUUUUUUUUAAUGUUGACUUUUGAUUGUAUUAUUAUCAUUUAAAAGUGGCAUCCGGCUAGGUCUUCAAGAAGAGUGUUAAAUUUCGAGUUAAAAAUUGAACAUUUUUUCAACCUAGUAAAUAAGAUUCAAAUUAUUUAUUUAAGAUCGUAUUUGAUGAAUCUUUACAUCUAGAGGGAAUCAGUUUCUUAAGCUAAAAAUAAAUGGAAACUUUUAAUCAAGGAACCCGCAUAUGAAAAAAGGAAUAAUAAUAAUAAUAAUAAUAAUAAUAAUAAUAAUAAUAAUAAUAAUAAUAAUAAUAAUAAUAAUAAUAAUAAUAAUAAUAAUAAUAAUAAUAAUAAUAAUAAUAAUAAUAAUAAUAAUAAUAAUAAUAAUAAUAAUAAUAAUAAUAAGACAAAAAUAAAAUAAAAAAAUAGAAAGGAGAGGCUGCGAGAGAAAAGCACAGGGAGGCCACAGCCAUAAACGCGGGCAGCCUAUGAAGACGAAUGGUAAUGGCCAUUAGCUAACGAAGAAGACUUAUGAUGAGUAGAAGAUGAAGGGGGACCACAGGCUGCUGUCGCAGUAGCUUCACCUGACGAAGACACCUUCCGCUUCUUUGUGGUUGUUUCUCCUUCCGGGAAGCUAAUGCGAGAGAAAACGCUUGCUUUACUCUUGCGGUCUGCUAUUGUUGCUGCUGAAGCAGGCUUAACUGCCGUCUCAGAGGAGGAUUUUGCAGAGGAUUCUGAUCGGUGAUGGUGGUGAUGAUGGCGACGGUGAUCGCGUUCAGCUUUGUCUUUAUCUCUAUCUCUGUCAUGAUCAUAGUCGUGGUAGUCAUAAUCGCGAUCUCUGUCAUGGUCGGAUUUUCUUUUGGAAGGACGUGGCAGUGGAGGAGGCGGUGGCUCAAGCUCUCGUGCAGGCGACGGCCUCUCAGGUCUAUGGCGGUGGUGAGGAUGAGGAUCACCACUUGAAGAUGGCGGAAUUGAUUUCUGGGCCAACAGCAAAAAUAAAUUAGAAGCAAGUAGUUGUGCUCAAUAUAGUAAGCUAUACGUACAAAAAUUAAAUCCCGAAGGAUCACAGCACAGGCCCCCUUAGAAUAACUACGAAAGUCCAUCAAUUUGUACAUGGGCCACGGAACAUGCCCUUUAAUUACUUCAACCCGCUAACAAGGAAAACAGCAAUUGUUAAAUGUUCACUACUUAGUACACUUUUGCUGCUGCAUUUUUUCAAUAAACUUUACCUUUAUUUACAUUUUUUUAUUUUUGGUAAGAACAUUGUUCUCUGGAACUUUACCAUUUGGUUCCAAUUUUUUUUUUUUUUUUUUUUUUAAUGUUGACUUUUGAUUGUAUUAUUAUCAUUUAAAAGUGGC
rnacentral:lncRNA from 1 species